rnacentral:rRNA from 1 species
GACGAACGCUGGCGGCGUGCUUAACACAUGCAAGUCGAACGGAAAGGCCCUGCUUGCAGGGUCCUCGAGUGGCGAACGGGUGAGUAACACGUGGGUGAUCUGCCCUGCACUUCGGGAUAAGCCUGGGAAACUGGGUCUAAUACCGGAUAGGAGCCAUUUUUAGUGUGAUGGUUGGAAAGUUUUUUCGGUGUAGGAUGAGCUCGCGGCCUAUCAGCUUGUUGGUGGGGUAAUGGCCUACCAAGGCGGCGACGGGUAGCCGGCCUGAGAGGGUGGACGGCCACAUUGGGACUGAGAUACGGCCCAGACGCCUACGGGAGGCAGCAGUGGGGAAUAUUGCACAAUGGGCGCAAGCCUGAUGCAGCGACGCCGCGUGGGGGAUGACGGCCUUCGGGUUGUAAACUCCUUUCGCUAGGGACGAAGCUUUUUGUGACGGUACCUAGAGAAGAAGCACCGGCUAACUACGUG